ensembl:lncRNA
GAAAGAGACUUAGAGAUGGGAGUCUCGGAACUGCUGCAACUUCAACUGGUUCCUGCAACAAAUGAAGGAAAUCUGCUGCCAUGUUUUCACUGCUGGCCGUGUGAGCUGAUACAAUACUGUGUGUAAACAGUGGGGCAGCCCAUAUGAUCACGGGGUCGAUCACCUGACAGGGCCAGCUGCGAGCAGUACACAACCGUUGCCAUAGGGAUGGUGUCCAGGGAGACAGCUGUGGCCUUUUAGCAGCAGCCACACUGCACACAGAAGGUCAUUCCCCACCUAAGGAGCAAUAUAAUAAAUGCAUUGGAAGAAGAGACAAGAGGCGAGCAUCUAGCUGAAGUGCUUCAUUUCUUAAUGGGAAAACAAGG